rnacentral:ncRNA from 2 species
AUAUGUCUUCGGGGCAGGGUGAGAUUCCCGACCGGCGGUAAAUCUUCCCCUUGCGUGUAAGGGGAAGAUUUAAGUCCGCAAGCACCUGACAUUGUAAUUUCAAGUGCAUGAACCGGUGUGAAUCCGGUACCGAUAGUAUAGUCUAGAUGGGAGAAGACAAAA